UAAGUGUCAGAAUUGGUCCAUUUUUGAAGAAUUUAUUUUUUUUUUUUUGUAAAUUUAAGGUUUUUUUUGUAUAAAAACUGUUACAAAAAUGUUAUUCAAAAUAUUGGCGGUCGCUAGCUACUACUUUUGACCAUCUUUCUGGCAGCUUACGUAUUCCGUGUAAAUGUCGAGAAUUCAGCUCAAAAAGUGACAUUUUCAGUUGAGAAUAAGUUUGGGAUGCAAACAGAUCUCUACAAAUAUUUUAUUGGGUUAAUGUUGACACAAAUGUCCAAGAUCGAUAUAAAACGAUUUAAUCGACCAGUGCUUGACUCUAGAGACAACUAUUGGAAAACGGAAGCAAAGUUGUAGACCAAUAAUAAAACAAUUUAUUGAACUGCAAUUUACGGAUAUUUAACUCAUUUUUAUUGAAAAAUAUACCUCCAAGAACAACGGGCACAAAUAGCUUAGCGUGACAUAAUCCGGCGCUCCUUGACAAGCGUGCACGCUACAAUGGUGAUUUGGUGCAACUGAAAGAGAUACCCUUGAACGGCUAAACUGAGUUAAAGGACAAGGCCAUGGAACUGUUGGUUGUAGCGCAGGGCAUGAGACACCAGCACAUUAACCCCUUAAGUGGUUGGCUAUCCGAUCCGAAUCGCACAGUUAUGGUGUUUGUUUACUGUUCACGCGGUUCGUUGCUCAUCAUGGACGAAAUCAAAUUGGAUUGGAGUUUUCGUCUGAGUUUGUUGACGGAUUUGGUGAACGAAUCUUCUUAAUUGAAUUCUUAAAAUAAGUCGCUCGAGCUAAAUGUGGUAGUCACCAGUAUCUAUAUACCCGUAUGAAUUACGCGAUAUAUAAUAGAUUAUCUCAAUACUCAAAUAAUUUUCGAAAGCUUACUUCGUAAUUGGCUUGAACAAAUGAUGAAUUUAUUUUAAUACAUCAAAACGUUGUUAAUUUUAUCCCAAACCUGUGUCUGAAGUCUAGAAGAUCCCGGUGGCAGAAAAUUUGAAAAUGGGCGUGUCCGUCGAAGCGGAGGGAUUCCAUGAUGUCAUUAUUUAUUUUACCGAUAUCGUUGGUUUUACAACAAUUGCUGCGCACUGCAGUACCGUACAGGUUGUGGAUCUGCUGAAUGAUCUAUCAACGCUUUCAAUGUGUACAUGGUGGAAACCACUGGCGAUGCUCAUGAUUCGAUUAUAAAAAGUUUGGUAAGUAGCAGAGAGCAGCUUCGGGUAUGUUCGAGUGUGUUCAAUCACACUAGCUUAAAUUCGGUACGAGUGUGUCGUAACACUCUUCAAACACGUGUUCGAUCGAGUUUGGAACCCGAAGCGAAAAUAACACAAACGAACAAUCACGACGGUCCUAUCUUCGAGUGCAAGCAGCAAACUCGGAUUUUAUGUAUAUUAUAUUUUCGGGUGUGUCGUGCACGUGUUGAUUGUGAUCGACACACUCGAGUGGCACUCGAAGACCAAAAAAUAAUAGAUAAACAUACGUACACACAUAUGUAUGUAUGUUGGCGUCGGGAUGACGCGUUCUGUCUUAGCUUUUUUGGUUGAAUAAUUUGAAUAUUAGACGUACAUAGUACAUAUUAUAAAAGAAUAAUUCAA